rnacentral:rRNA from 1 species
GCGCUUCGGCGCCGUCGUACGAUGAGCCUGCGGCGCAUUAGUUAGUUGGCGGUGUACAAGCCCACCAAUGCGACGAUGCGUAGCCGACCUGAGAGGGUGAUCGGCCACACUGGGACUGAGAUACGGCCCAGACUCCUACGGGAGGCAGCAGCUAAGGAUCUUCCGCAAUGGACGCAAGUCCGACGGAGCGACGCCGCGUGGGCGAGGAAGGCCGAAAGGUUGUAAAGCCCUUUUCUGCGUGAGGAAUAAGGUCAGGAGGGAAUGCCUUACUGAUGACGGUAGCGCAGGAAUAAGCCCCGGCCAAUUACGUGCCAGCAGCCGCGGUAACACGUAUGGGGCGAGCGUUGUUCGGAAUUAUUGGGCGUAAAGGGCGCGCAGGCGGUCAUGCAAGCUUGGUGUGAAAGACCACGGUUCAACGGUGGAAACGCGCUGAGAACUGUAUGACUUGAGUNUCGGAGGGGGAGCUGGAAUUCCAGGUGUAGGGGUGAACUCUGUAGAUAUCUGGAAGACCAUCAGUGGCGAAUGCGAGCUCCUGGCCGUGAACUGACGCUGAGGCGCGAAAGCGUGGGGAGCGAA